CCCCAAACCAAGUCCUGGAAAGCAACCCCUCCCACAAACCAAUCCUGGAAAGCAACCCCUCCCACAACCAAGUCCUGGAAAGCAACCCCUCCCACAACCAAGUCCUGGAAAGCAACCCCUCCCACAACCAAGUCCUGGAAAGCAACCCCUCCCACAACCAAGUCCUGGAAAGCAACCCCUCCCACAAACCAAGUCCUGGAAAGCAACCCCUCCCACAAACCAAUCCUGGAAAGCAACCCCUCCCACAAACCAAGUCCUGGAAAGCAACCCCUCCCACAAACCAAGUCCUGGAAAGCAACCCCCCAAACCAA
ensembl:lncRNA